rnacentral:lncRNA from 1 species
UACAGUAAAUAGAUAAAUUUUAGGUUCAUGAAAUAAAACUGAAUAAUUUAUUUUUACUUACUAUUUAUCAUGGAAUUACUUUGAAUAAUUUAUUUUUAAUGGUAUAAUUGGACAGUAAAAUUUAUAAACUCAGUGCUUUUCAUAAAAAUCAAAGUGAAGUUUGUAAUAUUUUAUACAAAUAGAAUUAUUAUUUAAGAGAAAUAACCUGUUUAUGCCUAAUUACAGUUUUUAAUCAUUUCAGUUACCUAUUUCUUUUAAGAAUAAAUUUAGUGGGAAUAUCAGUUCCAGUCAUGGGUACCAAACUUUUUUAGUGACAGAGUACACACAGGUAUGUAAAACUUGUCAUUUCUCAUCAAAUAGAGGCUGCUGAAUAUAGGCAGGUAAGAAAAGCUAUGAGAAAGAAUUGUUUUGCAGAAUAUUUGUCUAGUUGUCAGAGCAAGGAACUGAAUUUAUUGACACAGAACAUUUUAUUAAGUAAAAAAAAUGGUUCUUAUAACAAAAAAAAAAGCUAAUUUUACAGAAGGCAGUAGUUAAUAUAGCCGCCAAUAAAAUAAAUGUUUCUCUGAAUACUUUCCGAGGCAUUACAGUGAUUUUUAACUAAUAUGAAGUGAUAUAUAAUAAUUUUAAAGUAACAUCCUUGAGUUUUCCUAUUAUUAAUUGCUUAUGGAAAUUGGGUUUCACGUAUGACUGAGAGCUAAAGCAUUACAGUGAGUUAGAAAACACAACACAAAUGUAAAGAAAAUGUUAGGUGGUGAGUAAUCUGAUUCCUUUUUGUUUGCCUUUAAGCUUAGUUUUUUGUUUUGUUUUACUUUGUUUUAAACCAUGUAUAAAAUUGUUGAAUUUAAAAGAUAAGAGGAUUAAGUAAUUUCUUUUUUCCUCCUAAGGAUAAAUGUAGGAAAAAUCUAAACACAUAGGCAGAUUGGUUGAGUUUUAUAUCUGUUAUCGGCCACAUUUAUUAAGAUUCAUAUUUCAUGUAUAUUAGAGGUAUUCACAUGUAUUAAAAUUCUUAUAUUCCUUCUAUAUAAAAUAGAUGUAGGGGGUUCCCACUCUUGAAAAUAUGAAGAAAAGAUGUCCUUUCAGCAAUAAUGGGUUAUGGUUGAUUAACUGAGAAGGUUGUAUUAAACGUUCUCUAGUAGAAAUGGCUAAAGAGCAUGCUUUUUGAGAAGUGUAUCAUCUAGGAAGAAAAUCAAAUGGAGUAUUGGUAAUUAAAUUGUAAUUCCAUGAAGGAAGGAAGUGGUGCAAAAGAUGAAGCUAACUAUUCCUGUUUUUCUUUUUAAGAGUCUGCAAUUCAUAAUGGAGCUACUGUACUGGCUAUUGGAAGGAGGAGAUUCUGAAGAUAAGGAGGUAAUAUUAUCUCUUUUAAAAGAAUACUUUCCUCUGUAAUCCUGAAUCUUUAUUACAUGUAAGAACUUUGUGCAGUAGACAGCAAUUUCUUUGAAUUUGGUAUAUGGAAACAAUUUUAUUUUCCUCUGCUAAGUUUUUGAGCCUGCCUCUUCUAGUGCCAUGGACUGCAUUGGUAGAGCUGAGAAAUAUCAUUUAGCCAUACUCAGCACCCUUAAAAUAGCUUCUUUCUGAGAAUUAGAUCUGUGAAGGUGUCCUGCACAGUUCUUGUAGAUGUCAUUUUAGUUUGUGGUUGACGUGCAUGCAUUUAGCAUGUUGCUUAACCGUCCUCAUUCGCCUCCCAGUUCUUUGUUGCCUUCAUUUGGGGGGAUGUGUUUUCUGCUGGAUGAUUUACUGCUAGACAUGACCAAACUCUGAGUAUAAGACUUGGUGUUUGGCAGCUGGUUCCAGUGCUCUGCUGAGAAGUAGUUGGGCCCAGCCUGGGGCAUUGUAGUGUCCUGGAGGCCGGGAGCUCCUGCACAGGGGUUCUUUUCCUGGUUCAGAGCCUUAGGUGCCUUUCCACUUUUCACGUAAUCUUUUCCUAGGUUGGCUUGCUGCUUACUUUGCAGCUGUUGCAGGGAUUCACAUGGAAUGGAGGGCUCCCUUUUAUUGUGGAUUAUUUCUUUGAUAAUUUACCCAUGUGCUUUUUCAUUUUCAAAAACCCAGUGGUGUUUAAGAAUGAAAGAUUCUUGAAGAACAAAAAUUGGGUUAAAUUUGUAUCUAUCAGAAAAGAUUCUAUCCUCUGAUGCUAUGUAGGCACAUUGAAUAUGCAGGCUAAAUUAAAAACAGAGUAAAACCUUUUUAUAAUAUGCCAAUUACUAUAUCUAAGAAUGUUUAUACAGGCUGAAAUUUUGUAAUGGUAUUUAUAUCUGUUUUCCUUUUUAAGGAAAAUAAUAUACUUUUCUAGGCAUCAAAAAUAUCUGCCCCUUUCACUAAUGCUGAUGUACCACCUUCCCCCAACCCCCAACGCUAAAUUUGACUGGCUUAAAAACAUCUGCCCCCUGAACUAUAUCUGGGGAGGAAUAUUAAUAAAACAAUGAAGGACUUCAUGGUGUCUAGUUAUAUAAUUAGGAAAUUGGUUAGAAACGUGGCUAAAACCAGUUUCUUUCAUUAAAAGAACUAGUGUACAUUUAAAAACAAAAACCUUCAGGAAAAAGACUCUUUGAUCUUUAAGUCAAAUAGUAUUUUUGGUUAACACAGCAGGAAGGGGAAAUAUACCAAUUUCAGAUUCUUUUAUUUAUGCCUAAGUAGAGGUUGUAAGCAGCUAAGGAAGUGAUUAAAAUGUAGUCUAGUAAAAAAUGGUGCUGAUUACUUGGAAAGCAGUUUACAUUUGCAAAAAAAUUCAGUAUUAUGACCUUCACCAACUUUUACACAUCAUAUACUUGGGUUAUUACUUAUGGUAUAGCUUGUGUAUGGAAUGCAAGGGUAUUUUCAAAUUGACUAGGUCUUGCUGGUCAUCUUAAAAUAUGUUACAAUAUUACAAAAUUGAAAUGUAAUAUUUUUUAAUAGAAGGAAAAUAUAAAUUUAAUAUCUGGGCAAUUGAGACCUUUAAACUUACUUUAAAAGUAUGAUCUUGAUGUAUAUGAUACUGUUUUGUCUUUGCUAUAUUAACAGAAUUAGAGGGGUGUUCUGCAAUUCAAAUACCUUAUAUAUUCCAAAUUUUAUUCUCUAUAAUGGACUUUUAAAAUAAAAGGUAUAUGUGCUUCAAGAGGGCAAAAUUUGAAUCAUGAGCUAAUUUGCUAAGCAUCAGAUUAUAGAAAAGCAUCCUUGAUUAAUUUGGAACUGUGAAAGGGGGCGGGUAAAACUGUUUUCUGCAGAAAUUUACUAGUGCAGCAACCAUUUAAAUUAAAUGUUUGUUAACAUAAUAGUGAUGGCAUUUUCUCCUCCCCCUCCUUGUGGUUUUGUCCAACUAGAUGUUACAGUGGCAGUUGCACUGACUGUUAAGUGUUUAAAUGAUGACACCAUUAUGUGAAGUGAUUUUGAAAUGAGAGAUUCCAGCCAAGAAUUACAUCUGCUCCCAUCUCCUUCAAAUCAUACUCUCUGGCAGUACAGAUUAUGAUUGAUUUGUUUGUGACAGAUUGCAGGAAACAGUCAUUGAUUUUUCAAUAUUUUACCUUAAAAUUAUUUACAGUUGUAACCAUGGGGAGGUAUUUUCAUGGGCUGUCAGCCCCUGAAAGACUAGGAUAAUAUUCCCUGCUCUCUGACAAGACAAAUUACCUGUAAUGAGUGCAGUAGCUGAAGGGUAUACUUUUAUUUUAAAAUAUGUCAAUAACCCCAGUGACUAAACGAAUAUUGAUUUAGCAUAAUGAAGCCUGAGUAACGUGAAAAUGAGCUUUUUCAAGGGGCAUGGUAAAGUCUUUCUUUUUAGCUGGUUGUAAGAAGCUUUUGAUUCUUUUCAGCCAGCUGGUAGGAAUAUAGAAUUUUAUAAGCAAACCAUCAGGAAUGAUAGUGUUGUUUCUGAUAAGCAACAUCCAAAUAUUUUGACCCUGCUUUUAGUGGUUUUUUUCAAAUCUUAUUUUGAGUCUUACUUUUAGUCAUAGAAUAGCUACUGAUUUGAUGCGGUCUUUAACUGACUUAAUAUUUUUACAAUUUCAAUAUAUUUUGCAUUGGAAUCUCCAGUAAUGAAUAUUAAAAUAUAUGUACAAUCAUUUGUAGAUGAUAUCAAUUAUAUUAAGACAUUUCAGAUGGGCUAUUGUAGUAUUUAAUGUGCCGUAUUUUAUGGUAGAAUAAUUCUCAGUCUCUGGACAUCAAGAUUGCUUUCAGUGGGAAUGAAGAUUAAUUUACUUCAGUCCUGAUUUUUUAGGCAUCAAUGCAUGUUUUCAUUUUUGUCAGACUUUUACCCUCUUUUAAUGUAAUUCUCAACUUCUUAUGGAUUUACUUCCCAAUACAUAAAAUCCUUCAAAACAAGAAUGAUAAUAAUUUUUAUACUUUUUAUAAAAAUAAAUUUAUUUUUAGUCCAUCAAGGUGUCUGAAGAUUUUAUGCCUAGGUAUCUCCAUAUCUAACUUGAUAAGGAAAAUAGGAUAAACAAUGCUGGUAAUAGCAGGAAAGUAAGUAUUUGAAUAAGAUGUCAAACUGAUAUUUCAUGUGAACCUAACUCAUUUUAUGGUAACUAAUAAUUAUCUUAUUUAAAUCAAUAGGUAAAACCUGUUUAGAAAUUAAAAAUGAGUUACGAUUUAAAGAAAAUUCAGAUGACUCAUUGUGAGUGCUAGUUCUCUUGUAGGAUGCCACUGGAAAUGUUGAAAUGAAAAAUAUUCAGCCGUUGGUCUUUGAAAUUUCCUGUGAUGUGUUUCAAUCUAGAUGCAAAGAACAUGGAAAAAUCAAAGUGCUCGAGUGGUUUAAAUAUGUUUUGGCAACUUCGUCUUUUCUCAUUGGACCUUGAGAACAAUGCAGAGAUUGCAUUGUCCCCCAUGUCAGAGCCAGGAGAUCAGGGGUGCAGACGUGUGAAGUGACCCAUCCUAGAUCCCACCGCUGUUCGCAUUCUCAAGUUUGAGCUUAGAUCCUCUGCUUCCAAGCGUGAUUAAUUUCACUUUCUGUGUCUUACUCCAUGAGCCCUAAUGCUUCUGCUGAGAUUCCUAAUUCAGUGAAACCUGUUUAGGGGAUCAUCUCUGUUAGGCAGACAGCUGCUGAAAAGGCAUUCACUUUCCAAGCAUGGAUUUUAGAUUAUGGCCAAUCAAGACUCCGGCCUGGAAGAACACCUGUCAGAGACGUUUUUCUACAAGGAGAUGGUCUCUUUAAUCAUAUUUCAUUGUACUUCAGAAAAAGGUUCGUUUUAAAAUGGAGCAAAGUUUGUCAUCUUGAUACACUAGAUCUUUGAUGAUAUCAAUAAGGAAACAUCCACACCCUUUGGUUAAAAGACUCUGAGACUUCAAGGACUGCUGGCUGUUCAGAAGAGGCUGUGGUGGUUCAAGUGAGGCUCAAGGCUGUAGUUAUACCAAUCUGUUACUCCAUGAAGAGUCCAAGGCUGCUGAACAGAGUGAACCUCAGAACAGAUAGCAGUGGCACCUAGAAGAUAUAAUCUCAACAGCAGAUGAGUUAUUGAGGGAUGAUUGCUGAUUAUGGAUUCCUCUUCAUCUCUCUUAACUUAUAUUCCAAGCUGUUAACCUAGAAUAAAUCCUACUAUAUCUAAUUAAUGCAUUAAUCAAACUUUGUUUUGAAUGGAAGGGGGGAGAAUAUGUUGAUUACCCCGGCUAGUGGGAUACAAAAUAUACCUAAAGCAGAAUAUCUUUCUCCAUCAUGAAUAACAUUAAUCUCUGCAGUUCUUACAAGUGAAUAAUUAUUAUAUAGUUUGUUUCCUAUUUGUCUGGCUUGGUAUUUAUCCUUUAUGAGUUUCCAGGUGACAAUUUGUUUCAGGAAGAAUUCUCCAGAAACAAUUUUUUAAGAUUAUCGUCAAAUUCCUUAAUAAAGAGUUGAAAGCCAAACUCACUAGGUGAAAUGCAACAACAACCAAUGGGCAACAGACUGAUCUCCAACUUCCUGAAUUCUUUUUUUUUUUUUUUUUUUGAGACAGGGUCUCUCUCUGUCGAUCAGGCUGGAGUGCAGUGGCUCAAUCUUGGCUCACUGCAGCCUCCACCUCCCAGGCCCAAGCAAUCCCGAGUAGUAGGGACUCAGGCACGCACCACGACACCUGGCUAAUUUUUUGUAUUUUUGGUAGAGAGAGGGUUUCACCAUGUUGCCCAGGCUGGUCUUGAGCUCCUGAGCUCAAAGUAUUUGCUUGCCUCAGCCUCCCAAAGUGCUGGGGUUACAGGCGUGAGCCACCGUGCCAGGCCUUUAAUUCUUAAUUGCCGCCAGGAUUGAUUGGUAAGGCUGUAGAAGAGUUGCUGUCCAUUCCAAGUCUUCCCAUCUGAAGCAACCACCAUGCCACAGCCUUAUUCUGUCCCAUGGCUGUUUUGUGCAUCUCCAAGUGUACCAGUGUGAGGCCCUCAAACACACCCAUGCCCUCUGAUGAAAUAAUGUUGGUCGUGAUAACCACAGGGAUGUCACAGCCGCCGUUCCACACUCUAACUAAUUCUUAUUUUGUUCCAACAACAACAAUUUGAAAUGGGAAGAACCACCCCAUUUUAGACAUUUCAAAACGAGGGCUUGGAUAGAUUAUGUACCUUGUCCAAGGUCACACAACCAAAUGGCAAGGUACGGACUCAACCUAGUUCCAUCUGCCUCCAGUCCAAAACCCAGAGCUCUCAACUGCCACCCUCAUUGUCUCUACUAGAUACGGGCUUCCCUGCGGUAACUGUUGAGGCUGGAAAACACAGGCCUGAGAGAACUUUUAAAUAUGAAAUGAUAACUCUUUGCCUACUGAGAUUCUUAUUUUUAAAAACCCAGAGGAAGAUCAUAUUUAUAUAUUUAUUCAACAUUCACGUAUGAUAUUUAGAUUUACAAAAUGCUUUAUAGUGUAACAGAAUGGGCAGAAAUUUUUACUCGGGCUUAUAAUUGUCUUUUCUUUCAUAUUCAUUUAUUCCUUUGAUUUAUAUAAUGUGUUCUCUGCUUGGUCUUCUGAGAUUACGUACAAUGGUAACAAAUCGAAAAUAAUAUUAAUAAAAGAUUAUUUUGUAUCACUCACAGGGAAAACUGACUGGGGCCAUGCGCCUCUCUGUUCUUUAGAAACGUUAUGCGAGAGAACAUAAUAUUGUCCCCAGAAUACUGUCUGUAAUGCCGGCUAUGCUUAUUCGUGGUGCUUUAAAAAUAAAUUUAACUCCUGUUCUUCAUUUUGUGUGUGUGUGUGUGUUAUUUACUUCCUUCUCUUCAGGUGGCUGGGGUGCUUCACAGCUAUAAUGAACUGCUGUGAGCAUCACCUGAAGUCGCCAAACUACUUUCUUCACUGAUCAUUGAGCAUGA